rnacentral:tRNA from 5 species
AGAGAGUUGUCCGAGUGGCUGAAGGAGCACGAUUGGAAAUCGUGUAUGGCGGUAACGUCAUCGCGGGUUCGAAUCCCGCACUCUCUG